GUCCAUGCCGUAAACGAUGUCUACUAGCCGUUGGGUCUUUGAGACCUUAGUGGCGCAGCUAACGCGAUAAGUAGACCGCCUGGGAGUACGGUCGCAAGACUAAACUCAAAUGAAUUGACGGGGCCCGCACAAGCGGUGGAGCAUGUGGUUUAAUUCGAUGCAACGCGAAGAACCUUACCUGGCCUUGACAUAGUAGAAACUUUCCAGAGAUGGAUUGGUGCCUUCGGGAAUCUACAUACAGGUGCUGCAUGGCUGUCGU
rnacentral:rRNA from 1 species